UACGAAGGGGGCUAGCGUUGCUCGGAAUUACUGGGCGUAAAGCGCACGUAGGCGGCUUUCUAAGUCGGGGGUGAAAUCCUGGAGCUCAACUCCAGAACUGCCUUCGAUACUGGAGAGCUUGAGUCCGGGAGAGGUGAGUGGAAUUCCCAGUGUAGAGGUGAAAUUCGUAGAUAUUGGGAAGAACACCGGUGGCGAAGGCGGCUCACUGGCUCGUUUCUGACGCUCAGGCGCGACAGCGUGGGGAUCAAACAGG
rnacentral:rRNA from 1 species